rnacentral:rRNA from 1 species
AAGUCGAACGCAUCUUCGGAUGAGUGGCGCACGGGUGAGUAACGCGUGGGAACCUACCCUGAGGUUCGGAAUAACGGUUGGAAACGACCGCUAAUACCGGAUGUGUCCUAUGGGGCAAAGGCUUGCCGCCUUGGGAGGGGCCCGCGUCCGAUUAGCUUGUUGGUGAGGUAAUGGCUCACCAAGGCGACGAUCGGUAGCUGGUCUGAGAGGAUGAUCAGCCACACUGGGACUGAGACACGGCCCAGACUCC